rnacentral:rRNA from 1 species
CGGACCGGCGGACGGGUGCGUAACGCGUAUGCAACCUGCCUGACACAGGGGGAUAAUCCGAAGAAAUUUGGUCUAAUACCCCAUAAUACCGAUAUAGGCAUCUAUGUUGGUUGAAAGCUUUGGUGGUGUCAGAUGGGCAUGCGUUGUAUUAGCUAGUUGGUGAGGUAACGGCUCACCAAGGCGACGAUACAUAGGGGGACUGAGAGGUUAACCCCCCACACUGGUACUGAGACACGGACCAGACUCCUACGGGGAGGCAGCAUG